rnacentral:rRNA from 1 species
AGAACGAACGCUGGCGGCGUGUUUAAGACAUGCAAGUCGCACGGUAUCAUUUGUGUAGCAAUACUCGGAUGGUUCAGUGGCGCACGGGUGAGUAACACGUGAAUUACAUGCCCUUCAGAGGGGGAUAGCCCAGGGAAACUUGGAUUAAUACCCCAUGGUCUCGCAAGAGUAAAAGGUGGCCGCAAGGCUGCCGCUGGAGGAUUGGUUCGCGCCCUAUCAGCUUGUUGGUGAGGUAAUGGCUCACCAAGGCUACGACGGGUACCUGGUCUGAGAGGACGAUCAGGCACACUGGAACUGAGACACGGUCCAGACACCUACGGGUGGCAGCAGUCGAGAAUAAUUCACAAGUGGGGGCAACCCGUGAGUGGUGCAACGCCGCGGUGGAGGAUGACGGUCUUCGGAUUGUAAACCUCCUGUCAUCGUAGGAGUAAGUCUGGUACGUUAAUAGCGGA